rnacentral:rRNA from 1 species
GAUGAACGCUGGCGGCGUGCCUAAUACAUGCAAGUCGAGCGAACAGACGAGGAGCUUGCUCCUCUGACGUUAGCGGCGGACGGGUGAGUAACACGUGGAUAACCUACCUAUAAGACUGGGAUAACUUCGGGAAACCGGAGCUAAUACCGGAUAAUAUAUUGAACCGCAUGGUUCAAUAGUGAAAGACGGUUUUGCUGUCACUUAUAGAUGGAUCCGCGCCGCAUUAGCUAGUUGGUAAGGUAACGGCUUACCAAGGCAACGAUGCGUAGCCGACCUGAGAGGGUGAUAGGCCAAACUGGAACUGAGACACGGGCCAGACUCCUACGGGAGGCAGCAGUAGGGAAUAUUCCGCAAUGGGCGAAAGCCUGACGGAGCAAUGCCGCGUGAGUGAUGAAGGUCUUCGGAUCGUAAAACUCUGUUAUUAGGGAAGAACAGAUGUGUAAGUAACUGUGCACAUCUUGACGGUACCUAAUCAGAAAGCCACGGCUAACUACGUG